GGUUGAAGGAUGGGGUUGAGGGAUGGGGGUUGAAGGAUAGGGUUGAGGGAUGGGGUUUGUUGAAGGAUGGGGGUUGAAGGAUGGGGUUGAGGGAUGGGGGUUGAAGGAUGGGGUUGAAGGAUGAGGGGUGAAGGAUGGAGGUUGAAGGAUGGGGUUGAAGGAUGGGGUUGAGGGAUAGGGUUGAAGGAUGGGUUGAAGGAUGGGGUUGACGGAUGGGGUUGAGGGAUAGGGGUUGAAGGAUGGGGUUGAAGGAUGGGGUUGAGGGAUAGGGGUUGAAGGAUGGGGUUGAAGGAUGGGGGUUGAAGGAUGGGGUUGAGGGAUGGGGGUUGAAGGAUGGGGUUGAAGGAUCGGAUAGGACGAGGAUUUAAGCGAGCUUUCGUUCAGAGAACGGUGGACGUUCAAUAUAAGUAGCUGGUGUUAAGCAUAUUAAAGAUCCAUAUGAGGUCAAACUCAUGGAUGAGAUGAGACUCAAAGACUCACUCAUCGGUCAAAAGUUAUAAUCAAAGUGAUUUUUAUAGGGUUCUGCGAUGAAAGCUUGGAAUUUAAACACCCACACACGUUAUGCCUCAGAGCAGUGAUGAGAGCAAAUCAAUGUUGGAACAAAACACCUCUCAAACGCACAGAAAACCACAGCUUGAGAACCUGGAUCUCAAAUUCAAUCAUCAAAGGAAAUGGAGCUUGACAACAUAAUGGAAGGAACCGAAGGUGGUAAUUAUACAGUGAAAUUAUUUAAUGUGCCUCUCUAAGAAUCAUAUGCAGCAUUUGAGAGCACGGAUCCAAAAUGAUUGAAUUACCAACUUAUAAUUUCUCUGAUGAGUCAGUGGACGGAGGAAACUCUGUGCUGAAGAAGAAUAAUUUGAUGAUUUAAAGUAAUUGUCGGUUGAGCUCGUCAUCAUAAUUGCAGCCGUUGAGGAUUACAAGGACAAUAGUGUAGAUUAUGACACAUUGAUAAUGACAAAGAUUACCGUCAUCACGUCCUAUACAACAUUAAAAAAAGUGACACAAGAGAGCUAAAAUGAAAGAAUGAAGCGGUUCCUAUUGUCGGCGUGUGUGUGUGUGUGUAACUACAUCGGUUUAGAAAAAGUUACUCCUCAUUUGUUGAAGACCUUCAACGCGUUAAAUGGAUAAACGUCCGUCUUCAAGUUAUCUCAAUUACUGAGGUUUAGGAAACAGAAAGAAAGCCACCCUUGAUGUUCACGUAACACCUUCAAUGAAGCAAGUGUUGUUGCACGAGGGUGACAGGAAGUGAACCCCCAACAACUGUUCUGCUCCGUGUCUGAACCUCCAGUCCGAUCCGUCAGAAUAUGAAAACCGCCAAAGAGCAAAAACUAAAUGAAAAUGAUUGAUUCCUCUUUUUUUAAAUUACUUAAAUCAAUUUCUAUUGAACGACUUAAAACCCACGCGGGCUGACUCAGAGCUGUAGACAUUGAGGCAUAAUGAAUAAUAAAUGACAGGACGAGGGGAUAAUAAUAAAAUGUCAAAGGGAGAAUUCCUGUUGAUUCAGUGAGACCCGGCAGGAAGAAGAAAGGAGGCAGAAUGCGUUUAAAGUUAAUGCAAACGGUGUUGCACAGGAACAGAAGAACAGAGAAUCGCAAGAGAUGAAGGCAGAGAAGAACGACAAGUAAUGAAAAAGAAAGGGAAGGGAUUCACGCAGACGGACGCACCAGGAGAAAAGGCCAGAAGAAGAGAGGCGGCGAAGGCGCCUCGAGCCGGUGAUGCGGCGUCGAGCGCGAGUUCAAUCUCUGGCUGGCUGAGCGGCCGUGGGCCUCCUUCAAGCCGCCGCCGCCGCCUCGUCUCAGGCUCCACGCGCAGCUUUUGCUGGUGAAUAAACGGACACGCUGUCUUUUUUCUCACCGACAUCAACACCCAUGUAAAAAACACACGCACAGAAAGGCCGAUAAACAAACGUCCCGCGACUGUCCCCCGGCAAUGGAAAUGUCUUUUGACCUGGACGUUUGAUUCUGCGCACGGUGAGUCCGCUACUAGAAGCUUAUGAGGUAUAUUUGUGUCUUUACUUUAUUGCAUAAUAAAGACAAAUAUACCUUCAUAGUCUGUGGGCGCCGUCCCUCCAUCUUCUGCUUGAGCGGGUGGGAAAAUGUCUCCAAUGCUCUUCGUUUCUCCCGCUUCCUCUCCCCUCCCCCGUCCACCCUCCUUUAUCCCUCAUUCCCACCGAGGUGCUCCUUCCAUCUCACCCUCUCCCGACAAUAUGCUGGCUCAUCAGCAUUUAAAGGAGCAGGAACUCCAAACUGUGGAGGUGCUGUUUUAAAUGAUCCUUGUGGUAUUUUGACCAAAGCACGAAUGUCACUCAGGCUCCGUUGUUUACUUCUCUUGUGUUUUUUUUUCUCACUUUUAACAAUUUCAUCCGUCCCUUCCUUCCUCCAUCCAUAUUCAGGCAUCAUUUGAUUAAUAAACUGAUAUCAAAUAAAAGACAUGUUUUGGGAAGUAUAACGUUUGGUGGUCUGUGACAAUGACGGUUUGAUCCACUCAUGCAGAAAAGCGAAUGCGCCUGCAGGGAAAAGUAAGAGAGGACAGAAAGAAAGAGGAACAGAACACAUGAAAAAGAGGAGAUGAGAUGAGAUGAGAAUGAAACAGAAGAGAGCAACAGGAGCAUCGCUAACAGAUAUUAUCUGUAUACAUUAUGAAACUCUUUUUAUUCUUUUACCUCACACAGAAAAAAAGACAACAUUACUGUUGACGUUGUAACACACACACACACACACACACACACACACACACACACGCACCGCACAUGCACGCGCGUUCAGGUGUUUUCAACCUGCCUUUUAUUCUUUUGCAGGCAGAAAUAGUAAAAGCUUUUACAUUUCAAUCUGAUUGAAGGUCAAAAUCACACAACCACCCCCCCCCCCCCAAAAAAAAAUAUCCCAUUUCUCUUUUUGAUGUUUGUACAGAAGCUCACAGCAAUAAUUUAAAAAAGUAUAAAUACAUGCAAAGGCGUCCCUGUGUGAGUGUGACGGCCCUGUUUAAGAGAUGACAGCUGCCGCUGUGCACCGGUCUGCUGCGUAAAAGUUGUGACUUUCAAAUGUUAUGUGGUGACUUCUGUUCAUCCAAAGCUAAAUAAAUGAAUACAUUGAAGUACUAGCCCUCUAAAAUGCAGCAUAUUAACAAGGGUCAAUGUAAUUUAACAUGAAAAUGAUAAUUGACCUAUGUUGAAGUCUCUCAGUAACAAUAAUCCUAAAUGAGAUAAAAGCUUUAAAUGUUUUAUAUUCUGGCAGAGUGGCUCCUUAAUGGAAAUGUUUUAUGUCAUUGAUGAGCGCUGACUGAGAUGCAUAUCCGAUGGAUAUCACAAUAACGCGCCUGUGAGAGCGCAACCAGCUGUCUCAGCAGAAGACACAUUUGAGAAAGCAGAUGAGAUGUCUCCUGAGUGACCCAAGACUUCACUGCUGAAGGGAUCAGCGGUAAUAAAGCUUUCAGCCACGUCUUCGUUAUCACGUUGCGACCCGAAGCUGAUGUUGGACUUGUUAGUUGUUGGACGUCCCCGAACAAAGACGCCCGACCACCAGGCAUCUGAGAUUCCGUCCUCGUCGUUGGGUUUUCAUUUGGCAAGGUGUGGGACUAUUGGAGUGGUAUUUUCGUCAUUUCUCUGUUUUGUUGUGAAUGCACACGUGUGUGUACGUUGUGAAGAGGCUCUUUUUGGAAACAGCUUGAUUGUCGGCUGUAAUUAUGUGUGCGAAUGUGCAUGUUAAGCACAGCUGCAGCAUUUACCAAAAGUCUAUUAAACAGCCAGAUGGCCGCUGCUUGUAACGCCCACAAAACAUUUUCCUGCCACGCGCAACGUAAAAAAUCAAACACACCACAGUUUUCGCACACACUCUCGACUCUGUGAAGUGUGUGUUUGGUGUUUACCGGAGGUCAACGAUCCACCCGCAGCAGCAAUUUACAUCUCUUAUCAGUUUGGCUUCUUUCUUUCUUGUUUGAAUUUGCUCCUCAGGGUUUUAUUCUCACUUUUUUGUCACUGACUCACUGAAAGGCGCCGACACACAAACCCACACACACACGCACACACAACGAGGUAGCGAAGCUGCACCCUGUGCACCACGCACGCUUUUAAAAUGACCAGCAGAACAUAACAAAUGGUAUUUCAUCACGUGUCCGGCACCACCUACUGCGCAUUUUAUCAUUAAGGAUUAUUAAGGGCGACCUGAAUAACGUUCAGAUGUUCUUGGCAAAUCUCGUAUCACUAAACAGGUCAAAUCAAACAGAAACAGGACAACAAUGAUCAUAUUCCUCCAAGCCCACUGCGUGUUUCGGUGCACUAUCCAGAUAACGGUGUCUUCGGAGGGGGUGGGGGGUGCGGGAUUCGUCACUUUCUUUGGCCGAUUUGGAACGACACCUUGAGCAGUGAGAUAUUUGGAUUGAAAAUUGGAAACAUGACCUUUUGAAGGGGUCUGAAUGCUGAAUCACAACGUGUGAUAUUUGUUUCUUCGCCGGCACGCGGCCGAGUGAAUCUUGAUGAAUAUCAUUUCUUCGGGGGGGUUUUUAAGGUCAUGAAUUGUUUGAGUGUUACUUCAUCUGUCAGACAGGACUGUGGCGCCUCGGACGAUCGGAUCAGCGGGAACGUUCCGCGCAUGCCGCGAUGCGUCGAUUGGCCCCCGAUGCUCUCAAAUCUCUGUGAAAGGCGCCUCCUUCGAGCCGUCUCUGAGGCACAGACGCUCACCUGCUGCAUGCAUCCAAAACCAGAGAGCGCCUCGCUGAGCCUCGCCGAGCCUCGCCGAGCCUCGCCGUUCAGCGCUUUUGUAGCAAUACACAUUUGGCGCCCCGGACGGCGGUAAUUGACAACAGACCAAAGCACAUUUUCAGCCUAAAUGUGCUAAAAAAAAAAAAAGGCACUUUUCCAAAUGGAGCUCUGUAUUGGUGUAAACACUUUUACCUCACGUGUACCGGCAGGUAUAAACAUGCACACAAAACACACACCAACACACUUAUUUUACACCAUAAACUCUCCCAGAAAAUCGCGCACUGUAAAUACGUCAUACGUAAAAACACUUCACUGCAGAGAGGAAUUGCCCAGAUUUGUAGAGAAGAACAUUUUUAUUAUCUGACAUUUUUGUUGUGAUAUUUCAGUGUGAAUACUCCCCGGUGACCUCUUCUGACCUUUCCCAACAAUGCUGGAAGUUCUUCUGAUGCAGGUGAUACGUUACGAUCCUCCAGUAUUUGCUCCGUGAGUGCUGUCUGAAUAAGUUCUGUUCAUCCAGUGAGAUCUAGGUGGACUUCAGGCCACAUGGAGCUGAAGACAACAAUACAAGAAGUUACCACAUUGAUGAUUCCAAAGCACCCUUUGUGACUACGCAGCUUUAAAUCUGCUAAUAAAAAGCGGUGUCAUUUUAAUCUAAAACAAAGUCGGGUAUAUCUGUCAGCGGAGCGAGUCAACGCAAAACAAAACUAGGUUAGUCUUUGAGAAGUAAAGUGAGAAGCAGAGAGUCAGACGAAGUUAUCUCUAAGCUUUACGCCUGUUGACUUGACUGAUCUCUCGGUUAUGGAGCUGGCAGAUUGAGGUCUGUGUGUGUGUGAAUGUUCUCAACACAUCUCUGAGUCAUGGAUAUCGUAUGAGUCCUGAAGCUAUGGAGAGAUCAGAGACAGAUGGGCGGCACGCAGUCAGCACCGGCCCCGACAACACCUCGGCUUCUGUAUACUGUUGAUUCUGGCGACGAUCAAUCCGAAGAACCACGGGACGCUUUUUCCCGCCAGCUAAAAACCUGCCGCCGCUCUUCUUCAGACGGAAACACACGCUGCAAGUGUCAGACGCACACAAUCCAAAAAUAAAAUCUACCGCGUUAAGCUCAGAAACUGCAAUGUUACAAAUUCUAACGGUGUUUCUAUCUCUGAUGGAAGCUUAUGACUUACGGCUGAAAUGCACAUGUUGCCUGUAGUAAUAAUAGUGGUCUGAAUAGUCCUUUCAGUAGAUGAGUGUCCCAGCCGCAGACUGUGCAUAAGACGUGUUCAGACUGUGCAUAAGACGUGUUCAGACUGUGUAUAAGACGUGUUCAGUCUGUGUUUAAGACGUGUUCAGACUGUGUAUAAGACGUGUUCAGACUGUGUAUAAGACGUGUUCAGACUGUGUAUAAGACGUGUUCAGUCUGUGUUUAAGACGUGUUCAGACUGUGUAUAAGACGUGUUCAGACUGUGUUUAAGACGUGUUCAGUCUGUGUAUCAGACGUGUUCUGUCAUGAGUCAUCAAGUUACCCUACUUCUUUUAUAGCGUCAGCGACCUGUCAAUCACAGUCAAGCCCCGCCCUAAAGCAUACCCAAGAUUAUGGGCUAUUUGACUACUUUAUGCUGUAUUGAAGAAAACUGGAAACUUAACUGAGGUAAUAAACUGAGAGGGAAGUAGAGUAAUUUCUCACAUACAUGCAGAAUACAACAUGGAUGCAUCAUGAGGAUUAUUAAAGAUUAUAAAAGGCUGUUUUAAAGAGUUGAGGAUAACACAGGCAGUCAAUGUCGAGAGACAAGGGGAUGAAACAAUAAUAGAAAACUUUGUAAAGAAAGUUACAGAUUAAUUAAUAGUGUUUUGGGCUCAACUAAGCAAAGCUAAUGGAAACGAUUCCCGUCUUCUUUCUCUCCCACUCUCUUUCGUCUCUCUCCACCCUCUCGCCUCCCUUCUCCCUCCCCCCCUCCUUCCCCUUAUCCUCGUGUCUUCACACAUUCACUUUAAUACGUUCCCCAUCUCUCCCCGUCCAUUUCCUCUCAGCCUUUCUGUCUCCCCCUUUGGCCUCCUUCCCUCCCCUCUUUCCUUCCUUCUCUCCCAUUAGAAACAUAUUGGAGUGACACGGACCAUGAAAUUAAAAUAUUAGUGAGUGACAUCACUGAAUAUUUCCAAUUCUCUGGAAAGAAGGAAUACAUAAAAUAUCGUAUUAAGUGUCGUUAUAGGAAAAGGUCAGCUAGAGGGCAAUGAAAGACUUAAGUAAGAUCAAUAAAGUGUUACAACCUCUUUUUAAUGAAGAAUCUCUGCAAUUGUAGAACUGAACGAUCUUUUAACAAACAUUUUUUCUUUUGAAACAGAACUUUCUUAUUUGUCCACAAGUAUCCAUAUUUCAAGGCUCAACACAUGAAACAACUAAUCUUUGUAGUACUUAUCAGUAAUUCACUUUUACUCCAUUUUCUUCUCAUGUAUUUUAAAGUACCUUUUUUCUACAAUCUGAUGCAAUCCUCAUAGGUUUUUUUCUGCCGUUUUUGUUUGUCUUCUUUGUUUCAUAUUUCCCCUCCAGUGACUAAAAGGGUGUCUUCACCUCAGAGGUAAUUUAAAAAAAUCAAAAACCGUAAAAACGAGUUAAUUAGAUGCGCCUGUGUUCCAUGGGGGUCUUUAAAUCUACAAGUGACCACACCCAAAGGAAACCCUGGACCUCUGCUUCAGCUCAAAGAACUGGUUUCUUUUAUUCAAGUGUGUGUGUGUGUGUGUGUGUGUGUGUCUUUACAGGGUUUUCAUGUGUGGUUGCUUUAGAUGUACGACCAUAAAAAAGGUCAGGACUUCCAUCAAGUUUAUCAUCCAUUCAUUUCCCGGCUGUAAGAUCACCAAAGCGAAUGAAAGAGGCGCAAACAGGAAAUACCGAAGAAAGAAAUACGGGCGGGAAAGAGAAGGAAAUAAAAACAUCAGGAGUGAGAUGGACUUCUCAAGGUCUUCUCUGCAGACUCCCCCCUCAGGGGGAACCGGGCAACACAUGGAAAAUGUUUCUCUCCCUCUCUCCUCCGAGAUAAACCUCCAUCUUCGCCGGUCCUCCUUCACGGACUGAAGUUCUGCUCGAGGCCGGCGCUUAUUAAGCCGCAGGUUCGUUGAGUGGAACCAAUCCGAGACUGAUAUUUGAAUAAUGAUAAUAGCAAAGACCCUUUUUCUACAGAGCACCUUUCACGAAGAAUAAAAAUAUUGAAGUCGAGGGACCAAUUUGAUUCCAACAAAAAAAAUUUCCAUCUUCUGAGGACAACGAUUCCACAAAUUGACAAAUUGAAUGGCAAUCUGGCUAGGAGUUAAAGUGAAAAUUGGAAAUUAUUUUGGUCUUAAGUUAUUUUUCUAUUCCUUAAGUCAUUGUAUUGGUGUUCAUAUUUAGCCUAAUAGAGCCUUUUUGUUUUUACUGCAUUGUUCACAUCAACAUCUCCCUGUUUGUGAAACCCUUCUUUUAUGUCUUACUCCUUAACCCCCGUUUUUCCUCCCCGUGACUCUCCACCCCUUCUGCACAGUGUCCCUGCUCCUCCCUCCCUCCCUCCCUCUCCUCCCCCACUCACCGUUGUCUCAUUUAUUGUCCUUUUAACCCUGAUGGACGCCGUAUGUCGUCGACUCCAUACGUGGGCGGCGCUAUCUGCCUGGCGUCCAUGCGGCCAAUUAGAAAUGGCAGAUGAGUCGAUGAGUCUGUCCUAUGGAGACUGCGGUCGCCCCGGCAACUAUCGCCGCGGCCGACCUCGUCGGGAUACACGCCCCAGCCCAUCGUCUCCUCUCACAUUCAUCGGGGAUCCAGUUAAUGUCAAAGCAGCGCACGAUUGCUCCCGAUCCGCUCCUUCUGUUCAAGCACUCAGAAGUCAUGUCAAGUCCCACCCGCGCUGCGCCGGAGCCAUUGUGUGCAUAACUUCCCUCCAUUUAGUUAUUCCCUUUGUCCCAGCUGGUGAAUAAGCUCCCUUGAUGCAACCCGGACCUGCACCUGCCCUUCUUGUCUUUGUCUUCCUUGUACUCUACUCAAGUACUCUGUUUUGUUCCCCCCUAAUGUCUCCUCAUAAAGCGUGUUUCCCAAACCACUUAACCGACUUAAACUUUUCAUCUUCAGCUUCGAAGGUUGUUUGAGGCAAAUGCAUGCGUUUACAUGUCAACGUUCCCUUUGAGUAUAGCGAUACUCUUUGCACAUGCAUGCGUGCACAUGGAUGUGUGCACACGCGUGUUGCACCGGCUUCGACUCACGGCAUCCCCGAUUCUCUCACUACCACUCAUUAAGGCGGCUGUUCUCUGUGCGAUGCGCUGUGGCUGAUAGACAAUGAAAGGAUGACGUCCUAACAGCGAGACAAACAAAUAAAAAAGAAAAACCACCACUAUGCGCGUGCAACACGCGCUCUUUCAUAUAGUGUAACGCCGAUGAAUGUUGGCAAAGCACUGACAUCACGGUUGAAAGAAGAACCACAGCAUUCUGUCACUGUAGUAUGACGGACACGUUGGUCCGCCUUUGCUUCUGUGAGUCAUUGUACGUACGAAUUCAAAAGAGCUCUAAUCUAAUCAAUAGAGUCAUUUUUAUUAACAAGCUUCUUACAUCAGCCAGAUGAAAAACUCAUCUGGUUGCGAAAUGAAGUCUGAUUGAAUGGAAGUCUGUGAAGCGCGGCGGGUCCUAUUUCUGAAUCAAAGAAAUCAUAAAGCAGGGUACGCUUUUGGGCGGGUCCAGCGCGUGAUUGACAGGACGCCGCAGAAAA
ensembl:lncRNA